rnacentral:rRNA from 1 species
GAUGAACGCUGGCGGCGUGCCUAAUACAUGCAAGUCGAGCGAACGGACGAGAAGCUUGCUUCUCUGAUGUUAGCGGCGGACGGGGGAGUAACACGUGGAUAACCUACCUAUAAGACUGGGAUAACUUCGGGAAACCGGAGCUAAUACCGGAUGAUAUUGUGAACCGCAUGGUUCAAAAGUGAAAGACGGUCUUGCUGUCACUUAUAGAUGGAUCCGCGCUGCAUUAGCUAGUUGGUAAGGUAACGGCUUACCAAGGCAACGAUGCAUAGCCGACCUGAGAGGGUGAUCGGCCACACUGGAACUGAGACACGGUCCAGACUCCUACGGGAGGCAGCAGUAGGGAAUCUUCCGCAAUGGGCGAAAGCCUGACGGAGCAACGCCGCGUGAGUGAUGAAGGUCUUCGGAUCGUAAAACUCUGUUAUUAGGGAAGAACAUAUGUGUAAGUAACUGUGCACAUCUUGACGGUACCUAAUCAGAAAGCCACGGCUAACUACGUG